GGAUCCGUUGUGCAAUGGUAGCGUGUCUGACUCCAGAUUAGAAGGUUGCGUGUUUGAUUCAUGUUGGGUUUA
rnacentral:tRNA from 1 species